rnacentral:rRNA from 1 species
CAGCCGCCGCGGGAAAACGAAGGGGGCUAGCGUUGUUCGGAAUUACUGGGCGUAAAGGGCGCGUAGGCGGCCGAUCAAGUCAGGCGUGAAAGCCCCGGGCUUAACCUGGGAACUACGUUUGGGACUGGUUGGCUUGAGUUCGGGAGAGGAGAGUGGAAUUCCCAGUGUAGAGGUGAAAUUCGUAGAUAUUGGGAAGAACACCGGUGGCGAAGGCGGCUCUCUGGACCGAUACUGACGCUGAGGCGCGAAAGCGUGGGGAGCAAACAGGAUUAGAUACCCGCGUAGUCCCUGUCUCUUAUAC